GGUAGAGCAGGUUGUCCACUGAUUGCAGGGUUGGCAGUUCAAUCUCUGGCUCCUCCUGUCCGUGUGCCAAAGUGUCCUUGGGCAAGAAACUGAACCAUAAAUUGCCUCACUUAUUGUCUGUCCCGAGUCUGAGGUGAAAAGCUCCAGCUCAGUGGUGUGCGAGGAUUUUAAAAGCAGCAGGAGCAAAAAGGAUGAAGAGGCACCAUUUUUAUAUGCAGGGCGGCCAAGCUGUUUGCUGUGUGCCUCACGGUGUGACUCCAUCUGCUGCUCCAGAGCCCUCUGAGAUAUGGGCAAC